GGCAGUGGUGGCUCAGUGGUUCAGGCUCUGGGUUACUGAUUAGAAGGUUGGGGGUUCAAGCCCCAGCACUGCCA